rnacentral:rRNA from 1 species
AUUGAACGCUGGCGGCAUGCCUUACACAUGCAAGUCGAACGGCAGCAUAGGAGCUUGCUCCUGAUGGCGAGUGGCGAACGGGUGAGUAAUAUAUCGGAACGUGCCCUAGAGUGGGGGAUAACUAGUCGAAAGACUAGCUAAUACCGCAUACGAUCUACGGAUGAAAGUGGGGGAUCGCAAGACCUCAUGCUCAUGGUGCAGCCGAUAUCGGAUUAGCUAGUUGGUGGGGUAACAGCCUACCAAGGCGACGAUCAGUAGCUGGUCUGAGAGGACGACCAGCCACACUGGGACUGAGACACGGCCCAGACUCCUACGGGAGGCAGCAGUGGGGAAUUUUGGACAAUGGGGGCAACCCUGAUCCAGCAAUGCCGCGUGAGUGAAGAAGGCCUUCGGGUUGUAAAGCUCUUUUGUCAGGGAAGAAACGGUAGUAGCUAAUAUCUAUUACUAAUGACGGUACCUGAAGAAUAAGCACCGGCUAACUACGUGCCAGCAGCCGCCGUAAUAC